rnacentral:RNase_P_RNA from 1 species
GGCGGCCAGGCGAUCGCGUGGCUUGCGCCAUGAGGAAAGUCCGAGCAUCACAGGGCAGGGUGCCGGCUAACGGCCGGUGAAGGCGACUUCAAGGAAAGUGCAACAGAAAGAAACCGCCCCGUUUCGGCGGGGUAAGGAUGGAAAGGCGAGGUAAGAGCUCACCCGCGGCCUGGCGACAGGUUCGCGCUGUAAACCCCACUCGAUGCAAGAUCCGAUCAGGAGCGAUACGGCGGCCCGUCGUGCUCCUAAAGAGAUCGCUACGACCGCGCGGCAACGCGCGGCCAAGAUAGAUGAUCGUCCAACGACAGAACUCGGCUUACGACCGCGC